AUUGAACGCUGGCGGCAGGCCUAACACAUGCAAGUCGAGCGGAGCGGCGGACGGGUGAGUAAUGCCUAGGAAUCUGCCUGUGCGUGGGGGAUAACGUCCGGAACCGGGCGCUAAUACCACAUACUAUAAGAUGAGCCUAGGUCGGAUUAGCUAGUUGGUGGGGUAAAGGCCUACCAAGGCUACGAUCCGUAACUGGUCUAAGAGGAUGAUCAGUCACACUGGACAGGAGACACGGUCCAGACGCAUACGGGAGGAAGCAGUGGGGAAUAUGGCACAAUGGGCGGAAGCCUGAUGCAGCGACGCCGCGUGGGGGAUGAAGGCUUUCGGGUUGUAAACCUCUUUCGCUAUCGAACGGGUAGGUGGAGAAGAAGCGCCGGCUAACUACGUGCCAGCAGCCGCGGUAAUAC
rnacentral:rRNA from 1 species